rnacentral:rRNA from 1 species
UACGUAGGGGGCGAGCGUUAUCCGGAAUUAUUGGGCGUAAAGGGUACGUAGGUGGUUUUCUAAGCGAGGGGUUUAAGGCUAAGGCUUAACCAUAGUUCGCCCCUCGAACUGGAUAACUUGAGUGCUGGAGAGGAAAGCGGAAUUCCUAGUGUAGCGGUGAAAUGCGUAGAUAUUAGGAGGAACACCAGUGGCGAAGGCGGCUUUCUGGACAGUAACUGACACUGAGGUACGAAAGUGUGGGGAGCAAACA